GAUGAACGCUGGCGGCGUGCUUAACACAUGCAAGUCGAACGAAGCACUUUAUUUGAUUUCCUUCGGGACUGAUUAUUUUGUGACUGAGUGGCGUACGGUUGAGUAACGCGUGGGUAACCUGCCUUGUACAGGGGGAUAACUGUUGGAAACGGCUGCUAAUACCGCAUAAGCGCACAGCAUCGCAUGAUGCAGUGUGAAAAACUCCGGUGGUAUAAGAUGGACCCGCGUUGGAUUAGCUAGUUGGUGAGGUAACGGCCCACCAAGGCGACGAUCCAUAGCCGACAUGAGAGGGUGACCGGACACAAUGGGAAUGAGACACGGCCCAAAAUCCUACGGGAGGCAGCAGGGGGGAAUAUUGCAAAAUGGGCGAAAGGCUGAUGCAGCGACGCCGCGUGAGCGAAGAAGUAUUUCGGUAUGUAAAGCUCUAUCAGCAGGGAAGAUAAUGACGGUAACUGACGAAGAAGCACCGGCUAAAUACGUG
rnacentral:rRNA from 1 species